GAUGAACGCUGGCGGCGUGCCUAACACAUGCAAGUCGAGCGAUUUACUUCUGUUAAGUGCCGCGGACGGGUGAGUAACGCGUGGGUAACCUGCCCUGUACACACGGAUAACAUACCGAAAGGUAUGCUAAUACGAGAUAAUAUGCUUUUAUCGCGUGGUAGAAGUAUUAAGGCUUUUGCGGUACAGGAUGGACCCGCGUCUUAUUAGCUAGUUGGUUAGGUAUCGGCUCACCAAGGCGUCGAUCAGUAGCCGACCUGAGAGGGUGAUCGGCCACAUUGGAACUGAGACACGGUGCAGACUGCUACGGGAGGCAGCAGGGGGGAGUAUUGAACAAUGGGCGAGAGCCUGAUGCAGCAACGCCGCGUGAGCGAUGAAUGUCUUCGGGUCGUAAAGCUCUGUCCUCGAGGAAGACAAUGACGGUACUUGAGGAGGAAGCCCCGGCUAACUACGUG
rnacentral:rRNA from 1 species